rfam:TPA: Bos taurus chromosome 13, whole genome shotgun sequence.
CCUGAUGGCUGAGUCGGUAAAGAAUCUGCUUGCAAUGCAGGAGACCAGAGUUCGAUCCCUGGGUCAGGA